CAGGUACCAAUGUAAGAUAGUUGCCAUUCCUUCAAGUGUCGUGGUUCUGACUUCAGAGACCUUUGACUCAAUUGUCCUUGAUGAAACCAAAGAUGUCCUUGUUGAGUUUUAUGCCCCAUGGUGUGGUCACUGCAAGCAUCUUGCUCCGAUUUAUGAGAAGCUGGCUUCAGUUUUCAAACAGGACGACGGUGUUGUGAUUGCCAAUCUUGAUGCUGACAAGCACACUGACUUGGCUGAAAAAUAUGGUGUUUCUGGUUUCCCUACAUUGAAGUUCUUCCCUAAGGGAAACAAAGUCGGUGAAGAUUAUGAUGGUGGCCGGGACUUGGAUGACUUUGUCAAGUUCAUUAAUGAGAAGUGUGGCACCAGCCGGGAUCCAAAGGGCCACCUGA